rnacentral:lncRNA from 1 species
CAGCUAGCGGGAAGUUCAACUAAUGAGUUACGAAAUCCUCAUCAAAUCAUCCGAAGUCAUUGAGAUAUAGGCCUAUAGUUUUCCCCAAGAGAAGCGAUUGAUUUUAUGUGAUUAAUGCCUUCCAGUACUGCAGUAGAUUCUAAUGAUAUUCCCGUGAACCAAUCGCGAGCAAGCAAGAAACCAGCCAGAUACAGCGAUGAUAAAUUGAAGAAUAUGCAUGCACUCGUCGUGUUUACAGUCACACUGGAUAAGGUGAAGAGCUAGUAUAGAGGUUGGUUUUGAGCAUCAAAAUUUGGACGGUGGCCGGAGGAUGAGGAUCGAUGGAUGGGAGGCCUACGAUGAGGCUAACAAGAAGUGGUAGCUUGGCCUAAGCUUGAAAUGACCCAAUAUGCACUCUUCGUGUUCAGUCACACUGGAUAAUGUGAAGAGGGUGGUUUUGAGCAGCAAGGUUCGGCAGGUGGCAGGAGGAUGAAGAUCGAUGGAUAGGAGGCGUACGAUGAGGCUACAAAGAAGUGGUACUCUGUUGCCUUGCUUGAAAGGACCCCAAUUCAUUGCGAGAAGAUCGAAGGGGGCCGGACACAAAUCAGCUGAAUUUUGGCAGGCUCUGAGAGUAAAGAUGGAGGGAAUCAAAUAUAAGGCUAAAAA